GAUCAGGCUCAGGACGAACGCUGGCGGCGUGCCUAACACAUGCAAGUCGAGCGGAGAACAGGGAAGUGCUUGCACGGAACUGUUUUUAGCGGCGGACGGGUGAGUAACGCGUGAACAAGCUGUCCUUCACAGGGGGAGUAACACUUGGAAACAGGUGCUAAUACCGCAUAAGACCACAGGAGUGCAUGCUCCAGGGGUCGAAAGGAGCAAUCCGGUGAAGGGUGCGUUCGCGUCCC
rnacentral:rRNA from 1 species